UUUUAGUUUGGUUUGAAAUUGGGCUUCACUUGGACGACUACGGAAAAAGGAUCCUAGCUUGACUGCAGAAAUGAUUGCAGCAGUUUGGUGUCUACACUUUCUACAGACCACUCUCUUUAUUGGUCAUGGUUACAUAUAGGAUGGUAAUAGAAGGAGAAUGGUAGAUAAAAGGAUGGCAGGAAGGGCAUAGAUUGAAGUUCCUUUGGAUUAAUUUUGAACAAAUAAAUUAAAUACUAGAUAGGUUUUAGAUUGCUUGAACUAUUAUUUAUUUUUAGAGAUUCAUUGGUUUUAUUAAUUGAUGUAUUUAUAUUAUAACAAUGAUUUUUGUUAGUAGAAUGAUUGAUAUGGAUAUUUUAUUUUAAUAAUAAGUAAAAAUUAAUUUGAAAUAAA